GGCUAUAGCUCAGUGGUAGAGCACUUGCCUCAAAUGUGUGAGGCACUGGGUUCCAUCCUCAGCGCCA
rnacentral:tRNA from 1 species